AAGCUGGAGCUCUUGUGGAAGAAGAUAACCCUCAAUCUCAAAGAAGGUGGUCUUUGGUUUUGCAGCUCAGUUUUUCUCUUGCUGUCGAUCUGCUUGAGAAGGGAUUGGUGUCCUGCUACUUGUCUCCAGCAGCUGCCUCGUAUCUGCUACCUUAUGGAUGCCUUCCAACUCGGGAUAUCCUAUGAGUCUUCCUUCAUUGUCCUUCUACUGAACCUGGGACCUCCACAGUGAGCAGCUAAAGGUAUUCUGGGUCUACACCGGUGAGAAGAGAGAAGCUCUCUGCGAGGCCUGGAAGUAUGACACAUGCUUAUGAGCAGACUCUAGGCACAUACAAUGUACUCAUUAAUGCCACGGGGACUGCUGUGCCAGCAGGAGGGAUUCUAGCCCCAAAAAGCACUGCGAGAGCUGCGUGCUCUCCUCAUUUUCUGCCAGUUUGGGAAGGGUUAAUGAGGGAAGCACAGCCCCCAGGGGCCAGCACUGUUGUUCCAUGCAGAUUGGCUUGUUCUUGUUUCUUCCAUCGAUCGCAAUCACUCAGAGCUGUGCCUGUAACAAACUGCCUUAAAUCAUUGCAAUCAUAAUAAGCACACCUUGGUAAAUAAUGCAUGAGGUGUCCGUAAGCCUAUAUUCAUUAGGAGGAAGGCGCAUAUAGAGCACGGUAAUCAUCUGGGCUCAAGGAGGGGCUUGGAUGGUGGGGCUGAGCCGGGUUUGGGGGCAAGGCUCUCCAGCCCCUCAGAUGUUGGAAACGUAGGCGGGUUCCUUGUCACCUUCAUGAAUUUUGUACGAGAUGUUUAAAAUGCCUGUAAGGUUUGCAUUGUAAUCCAGGUUGGGUAGAAGUGGGCUUGUGGCGAGUCUCCAAGUGGUAUAAUAGCAAGGCAUCACAAUUAAUCGUGUUUAAUAUGUUUUAAUGACUCAAAGCACGUGGUGUGUAACAAGUUUUGCUGUGAGAGCCUCGUAGCCAAGUUAAUGGUCUGGAUAUUAGGAGCCACUGUUUUAAAGCACAAAUUAAAAAUGCUUUGUUUU
rnacentral:lncRNA from 7 species